rnacentral:misc_RNA from 1 species
UUACCGAGUAUUCUGUCGUUCUCGACAGAGCUCCCGUCCUGUGUCAUGCGUGCCGAGAGCCCCGCGAGGGGUGCGCUUGGUGAACACGUUUCGGCGGAGGUGUUGCGCACGGGCCGCGCCGGGUAACCGGUGGCAGGACCGUGGGUGACCGCCGUCGGUCUUUUAACUCUUGCGAAAGUAUGAAGUCUGAAAUGAAAUUUUUUAAAUUGAAGCAAAACUUUCAACAACGGAUCUCUUGGCUCUGGCAACGAUGAAGAACGCAGCGAAAUGCGAUAAGUAAUGCGAAUUGCAGAAUCAGUGAAUCAUCGAAUCUUUGAACGCACAUUGCGCCUCUUGGUAUUCCGAGAGGCACGCCUGUUCGAGCGCCAUUACACACCCCAAGCUCUGCUUGAUGUUGGACGUCUCCCGAAAGGGGGUGUCUGAAACGCCUGGGCGCCCGCCGCCGACCACGAGCGUAGCACGAUUUCCACAUCAUCGCUUCGUUGGAUCGACGGAGGGUCUGUCAGACCUUUUCUAGUAAAAAGCACUUGGCCUCGGAUCAGGCGGGGAUACCCGCUGAACUUAAGCAUAUCAAUAA